UCGGGUCGGCAUGGCAUCUCCACCUCCCCGCGGUCCGACCUGGGCAUCCGAAGGAGGACAGAACGUCCACUCGGAUGGCUAAGGGAGAGCCAGU
rnacentral:ribozyme from 13 species